rnacentral:rRNA from 1 species
AUGUGACGAGUUUGAAUCCUGGCUCAGAACGACGCUGGCGGCAUGCCUAACACAUGCAAGUCGAACGAGACUUCGGUCUAGUGGCGGACGGGUGAGUAACGCGUAGGAACCUGCCAAGCCAGUGGGGAAUAACAGCUGGAAACGGCUGCUAAUACCGCAUACGCCCUUCGGGGGAAAGAUUUAUCGCUGUUUGAGGGUCCUGCGUUCGAUUAGCUAGUUGGUGAGGUAACGGCCCACCAAGGCGACGAUCGAUAGCUGGUCUGAGAGGAUGAUCAGCCACACUGGGACUGAGACACGGCCCAGACUCCUACGGGAGGCAGCAGUGGGGAAUAUUGGACAAUGGGGGAAACCCUGAUCCAGCAAUGCCGCGUGCGUGAAGAAGGCCUUAGGGUUGUAAAGCGCUUUCACCUGUGAUGAUGAUGACAGUAGCAGGAGAAGAAGCCCCGGCUAACUCCGUG